rnacentral:rRNA from 1 species
UGGGGAAUAUUGCACAAUGGGCGCAAGCCUGAUGCAGCCAUGCCGCGUGUGUGAAGAAAGGCCUUCGGGUUGUAAAGCAACUUUCAGCGAGGAGGAAAGGUGGUGAACUUAAUACGUUCAUCAAUUGACGUUACUCGCAGAAGAAGCACCGGCUAACUCCGUGCCAGCAGCCGCGGUAAUACGGAGGGUGCAAGCGUUAAUCGGAAUUACUGGGCGUAAAGCUCACGCAGGCGGUUUGUUAAGUCAGAUGUGAAAAUCCCCCGGGCUCAACCUGGGAACUGCAUUUGAAAACUGGCAAGCUAGAGUCUCGUAGAGGGGGGUAGAAAUUCCAGGUGUAGCGGUGAAAUGCGUAGAGAUCUGGAGGAAUACCGGUGGCGAAAGGCGGCCCCCCUGGACGAAGACUGACGCUCAGGUGCGAAAGCGUGGGGAGCAAACAGGAUUAGAUA